GGAAAGUNUGGAGUAAAAGGCUAUGGCUCAACCAUAGUGUGCUCUGGAAACUGUNUGACUUGAGUGCAGAAGGGGAGAGUGGAAUUCCAUGUGUAGCGGUGAAAUGCGUAGAUAUAUGGAGGAACACCAGUGGCGAAAGCGGCUCUNUGGUCUGUCACUGACGCUGAGGCUCGAAAGCGUGGGUAGCGAACAGGAUUAGAUACCCUGGUAGUNCACGCCGUAAACGAUGAGUGCUAGGUGUUAGGCCCUNUCCGGGGCUUAGUGCCGGAGCUAACGCAAUAAGCACUCCGCCUGGGGAGUACGACCGCAAGGUUGAAACUCAAAGGAAUUGACGGGGGCCCGCACAAGCGGUGGAGCAUGUGGUUUAAUUCGAAGCAACGCGAAGAACCUUACCAGGUCUUGACAUCCCGAUGCUAUUCUUAGAGAUAGGAAGUUACUUCGGUACAUCGGAGACAGGUGGUGCAUGGUUGUCGUCAGCUCGUGUCGUGAGAUGUUGGGUUAAGUCCCGCAACGAGCGCAACCCUUAUUGUUAGUUGCCAUCAUUAAGUUGGGCACUCUAGCGAGACUGCCGGUAAUAAACCGGAGGAAGGUGGGGAUGACGUCAAAUCAUCAUGCCCCUUAUGACCUGGGCUACACACGUGCUACAAUGGUCGGUACAACGAGUUGCGAGCCGGUGACGGCAAGCUAAUCUCUGAAAGCCGAUCUCAGUUCGGAUUGGAGGCUGCAACUCGCCUCCAUGAAGUCGGAAUCGCUAGUAAUCGCGGAUCAGCACGCCGCGGUGAAUACGUUCCCGGGCCUUGUACACACCGCCCGUCACGCCACGAGAGUUUGUAACACCCGAAGUCGGUGAGGUAACCUUUCAGGGNCCA
rnacentral:rRNA from 1 species